GACGAACGCUGGCGGCGUGCUUAACACAUGCAAGUCGAACGGAAAGGCCUGCUUUCCCUUGUGGAUUGCGGGUACUCGAGUGGCGAACGGGUGAGUAACACGUGAGUGAUCUGCCCCCAACUUGGGUAUAAGCCUGGGAAACUGGGUCUAAUUCCCGAUAGGACUGCAGGGUGGUGCCUGUGGUGGAAAACGAUUUUCUAGUGGUUGGGGAUGAGCUCGCGGCCUAUCAGCUUGUUGGUGGGGUAAUGGCCUACCAAGGCGGCGACGGGUAGCCGGCCUGAGAGGGUGGACGGCCACAUUGGGACUGAGAUACGGCCCAGACUCCUACGGGAGGCAGCAGUGGGUAAUAUUGCACAAUGGGCGGAAGCCUGAUGCAGCGACGCCGCGUGGGGGAUGACGGCCUUCGGGUUGUAAACUCCUUUCGACCGCGAGGAAGCCACCUGGUUGGAAGGGUGGUGACGGUAGUGGUAGAAGAAGCACCGGCUAACUACGUG
rnacentral:rRNA from 1 species